AAGAAAGGUAAAGAGUUAGAAGAUGAUCCUAUAUUUAUUGAGAAGAUGAAAGACCCUGAGUUUGCUAAAAGUCUUGAUGCGGACGAGGUAGGGGAGAAAAAAGAAUUAAGAAAAGGGGCGAAGACUUCUGUUGUGAUAUUCUCUAUAGCAGUGUUGCUGAUUGUUUUAGCAGGUGCUUUUCCUCAAUUACUUCCUGUGUUUGAACCUGGUGCUGCGAGCUUAGUACUUAAGGCUAGUGGAGAACUACAGAUGGUAGCAGUGAUAAGUAUGAUUACGUUGACUGCUUCUGCUCUGAUGAUGAUUACAACCAAAACAAGUGCUAUAACAGUGACAAAGGUUAGUCUUUUUAGUUCUAUGGCUACUGCUGUUGUUUCUGUGUUUGGGGUAGUAUGGAUGAGUUCUACUUUUAUGGCACAUAAUGAGGUGGUGAUAAAAGCAUUUAUGACAGAUGUGGUUUCUGCAUAUCCUUGGACUUUUGCUAUUGCUGUAUUUAUUUUAGGAGCUUUGAUGUUUAGUCAGGCAGCUACAACGAAAACAAUGAUGCCUCUAGGGGUGUCUUUAGGAUUGUCUAAUCCGGCGUUGAUUGCAAUUUUCCCAGCAGUAAAUGCAGAUUUCGUAUUGCCUGGUUACCCAACAUUGUUAGCGGCAAUUAAUUUUGAUAGAACAGGAAGUACUAAAAUCGGGAAGUUUGUAGUGAAUCAUAGUUUUAUGAUUCCAGGAUUAGUAGCUAUUGGUGUAGCGGUAGCAGCAGGCUUUUUAUUAGGAGCUGUAUUAUUAUAAAAAAUGAAGUAUUAAAUAAAAAAAAUGAAAAUGAAAAAGGCAUUAUUAUUAAUGACGAUGUUUGUAAGUGCGGGAGCAUUGGCUCAGGAACCGCAAUCUUCUACAGACACGAUUGUAAAACCUAUUAUCCCCGUCGAGAAAGUAGGAUUGUUAAAGAAUAUAGACGUUCUAUUUCAUACUAGAGUAGGGUUUGAGAGUUAUUUUGAUAACGGAACUUUUACAAACUCUGAGUUUGAUAAUAAUCAAGCACGUAUUGAGAUAAAGGGGAAAAUACAUGAUCGAGUGUAUUUUAGAUUUAGGAAUAGAUAUACUCAGAAAUCUGAAAUAGGAACUAAAGAUCAUAUCGAAAGAGGGGUUGAUAUGGCAUUUGUUGGAAUUUACCUUGAUCCUAAGACUAGAUUAGACAUUGGUAAGAUGAGUACUGACUGGGGAGGAUUUGAGUUUGAUUUAAAUCCAAUCGAGAUUUUACAGUAUAAUGAUAUAUUGCAACAUGCUGAUAAUUUCUUGACAGGAGUUGGGGUUACACAUACUCUGGAUAAUGGGCAUUCUUUUGGAUUGCAAGUGCUAAAUUCUAGAACACAGCAUUUUGAAGACCAGUAUCAGGAUUUUGAUAUUACUAAUAUAGAAAAAGCAAAAAUGCCUUUAGCUUUUGUUACGAAUUGGAGAGGUAAUUUCUUUGGUGGUAAGUUCCAAACAAAUUAUAGUUAUAGUUACUUUCAAGAAGCCAAAAGUAAAGUGAUGAACUAUGUGUCCCUUGGUCAUAAGUAUCAAGAUGAUAAAUUAACCAUUAUGUAUGACUUCCAGUAUAGCAAGGAAGAUCUAGAUCGUAAAGGGAUGGUUAGUUAUAUGGUGAAUAAUACCUUAGCAGAUGGUGUUAAAGGACAUGUGAGUGAAAAUGUAGCUUAUAUGGAUAACUGGAUUAAGGCAGAUUACUUAGUUACUCCUAAGUUAAAUUUAUCAUUAACAUUGAUGACUAGUAACGCUUAUGGUAAGAAUAUAGAGAGUACUACAAGUGGUACAGAUCGCUUGAGAACAAGUUAUGGUUUUAUACCAACAGUACAGUAUAUACCAUUUAAGGAUAUUAAUGUGAGGUUCUUUGUGUCUUAUGUAGGAAGAUAUUACAAUUACUCAUCUUAUGCUAAGAAUAAUUUAGGAUUAGAAAAUUAUAAUACAGGAAGAUUGACAAUAGGGUUUGUUGCUCCUUUAUUGAUACUAUAAUAAAUAUAUCAUAAUAAUAAGUAUAAGCUCUAAGUCUACUGACUUAGAGCUUAUCUUUUUUAUAGGAGUAGGUCAAUAGCGCCUUACUAUAUAUACUAUAGUACAAUAUUAAAUAUAUUUCGCCCUCUAGCGUUACGUAUAUAUAGUAUAGAGACGCCAUAAGGUUAUAACCUUUAAAAAAAGAUAAAAAAAACUUUUGCUCGUAAAAGGUAAUAUAAUAGAGAGUUAUGAAAUACUUUUUAAAAACAUUGAAAAAAAGGCAAAGAUAAGUUUGGAAGUAAGAGAAAAGAUACUACUUUUGCAUCCGCAUUAGAGAAGUGAUAACGACUCUAGAGGCAGACGAUCAUAAACAAAAAUUGAAGCAAGAGCGAGUAAAAAAUAAGCUUUAAAAAAUUUACAAAAAUAAAUUUGGAUAAGUAAAAAAUAAGGUAGUAUCUUUGCAGUCCGCUUCAGUAAAAACGGGAGUUGAGCGAAAAAAUAAAGA
rnacentral:rRNA from 1 species